CGUGUUGUGAAAUGUUGGGUUAAGUCCCGCAACGAGCGCAACCCUUAUCCUUUGUUGCCAGCGGUUAGGCCGGGAACUCAAAGGAGACUGCCAGUGAUAAACUGGAGGAAGGUGGGGAUGACGUCAAGUCAUCAUGGCCCUUACGACCAGGGCUACACACGUGCUACAAUGGCAUAUACAAAGAGAAGCGACCUCGCGAGAGCAAGCGGACCUCAUAAAGUAUGUCGUAGUCCGGAUUGGAGUCUGCAACUCGACUCCAUGAAGUCGGAAUCGCUAGUAAUCGUAGAUCAGAAUGCUACGGUGAAUACGUUCCCGGGCCUUGUACACACCGCCCGUCACACCAUGGGAGUGGGUUGCAAAAGAAGUAGGUAGCUUAACCUUCGGGAGGGCGCUUACCACUUUGUGAUUCAUGACUGGGGU
rnacentral:rRNA from 1 species